rnacentral:Y_RNA from 1 species
GGUGGGAACAACAGAGUGAGAUCCUGUUUCAAACAACAACAACAAAAAAAAAACCUAAUUGAUCACAACCAGUUACAGAUUCCUUUGUUCCUUCUCCACUCCCACUGCUUCACUUGACCGGCCUUUA